rnacentral:rRNA from 1 species
GAUGAACGCUGGCGGCGUGCCUAAUACAUGCAAGUCGAGCGAAUGGAUUAAGAGCUUGCUCUUAUGAAGUUAGCGGCGGACGGGUGAGUAACACGUGGGUAACCUGCCCAUAAGACUGGGAUAACUCCGGGAAACCGGGGCUAAUACCGGAUAACAUUUUGAACCGCAUGGUUCGAAAUUGAAAGGCGGCUUCGGCUGUCACUUAUGGAUGGACCCGCGUCGCAUUAGCUAGUUGGUGAGGUAACGGCUCACCAAGGCAACGAUGCGUAGCCGACCUGAGAGGGGGGACGGCCACACUGGGACUGAGACACGGCCCAGACUCCUACGGGAGGCAGCAGUAGGGAAUCGUCCGCAAUGGACGAAAGUCUGACGGAGCAACGCCGCGUGAGUGAUGAAGGCUUUCGGGUCGUAAAACUCCGUUGUUAGGGAAGAACAAGUGCUAGUUGAAUAAGCUGGCACCUUGACGGUACCUAACCAGAAAGCCACGGCUAACUACGUGCCAGCCGCCGCGGUAA